rnacentral:rRNA from 1 species
AGUGAACGCUGGCGGUAGGCCUAACACCUGCAAGUCGAACGGCAGCACAGAGGAGCUUGCUCCUUGGGUGGCGAGUGGCGGGCGGGUGAGGAAUACAUCGGAAUCUACUCUGUCGUGGGGGAUAACGUAGGGAAACUUACGCUAAUACCGCAUACGACCUACGGGUGAAAGCAGGGGAUCUUCGGACCUUGCGCGAUUGAGUGAGCCGAUGUCGGAUUAGCUAGUUGGCGGGGUAAAGGCCCACCAAGGCGACGAUCCGUAGCUGGUCUGAGAGGAUGAUCAGCCACACUGGAACUGGGACACGGUCCAGACUCCUACGGGAGGCAGCAGUGGGGAAUAUUGGACAAUGGGCGCAAGCCUGAUCCAGCCGUACCGCGUGGGUGAAGAAGGCCUUCGGGUUGUAAAGCCCUUUUGUUGGGAAAGAAAUCCAGCCGGCUAAUACCCGGUUGGGAUGACGGUACCCAAAGAAUAAGCACCGGCUAACUUCGUGCCAGCAGCCGCGGUAAUACGAAGGGUGCAAGCGUUACUCGGAAUUACUGGGCGUAAAGCGUGCGUAGGUGGUUAUUUAAGUCCGUUGUGAAAGCCCUGGGCUCAACCUGGGAACUGCAGUGGAUACUGGAUGACUAGAAUGUGGUAGAGGGUAGCGGAAUUCCUGGUGUAGCAGUGAAAUGCGUAGAGAUCAGGAGGAACAUCCAUGGCGAAGGCAGCUACCUGGACCAACAUUGACACUGAGGCACGAAAGCGUGGGGAGCAAACAGG